rnacentral:rRNA from 1 species
UACGUAGGGGGCUAGCGUUGUCCGGAAUCAUUGGGCGUAAAGCGCGUGUAGGCGGUUCGGUAAGUCCGCUGUGAAAGUCGGGGGCUCAACCCUCGAAUGCCGGUGGAUACUGUCGGACUAGAGUACGGAAGAGGCGAGUGGAAUUCCUGGUGUAGCGGUGAAAUGCGCAGAUAUCAGGAGGAACACCGGUGGCGAAGGCGGCCUCUGGACGGAUACUGACGCUGAGACGCGAAAGCGUGGGGAGCAAACAGG